UUUCUCUCAUCUUCGUACCUACUAUUUCAGUUGAUGUCCAUCACAUUUAAGAGCAAAUGAGGUCCUCACCAGCGCACAGAAGAAGCCUCACAAGCUAAGAACUAACCACGUGUAAUUUUUUUAUAAACAGCAUCUUCAUAGGUGAAGAGGAAUAAUAGAGACCACAGUGCUCACCACGAUAUCAGCUUCAACGUGCUACAAGGAAGGAAGGAAGGAAGGAAGGAAGGAGGAUGACCCGGAUGCCAAAAUCAACUGGGCUUUAGAGCAUCGCAUCCCUCAUCGUUGCAGGCAGAAAGAGAAGAUUGGGUUGAAAACAAGUGGAACAUUGUGUGUGUUCUGAUGGGGCUUUAGCUUCAGAGCACAAAUACUCUGGAUAUAGAGGUUCUGGGCGGUUGGUUGGGCUGAUUGGGGAAAACGGUGGAGCUGCAGACGCCAAAAAUCAGGAUUAUGGUUUGUGCUGCUGCUGCUGCUUUGUUUGAAUUGGGUUGUUUCAGGAGAAUUGUCAAGAACUGAAAAAAGACUUUAAAUCUCCUGAAACGGAAGCUCAGCAAACGCACCCUGUACAUAAAUAGGCUUCAAAGAUCUUUCUAUUUUAUUGCAUCCAGAGCACCAAAAUUACAGCCAACCACACUGCAACUGCGAAGCAGUUUGGCCUUCGUCCUUUGCCAAAACCAAAGAGGUUUUGUCAAAAUGAUUCCCUUCUUGCCCCAGCAUCUCUAUACAACACCCAUUUCAUCGUUUAAACCAAGACCAUAGUUCCACAACUCACUUAAAUAGUAGACUAUCUACUUAUGGAGUCUUAUUAAUCGGAUUAUUCUUGGAGAGGCUUGAUCCAAAGGCUGGUUCCCAACCCAGAAAUCUCCCUAAAAUGAAGGUUAGCAAAGACACUACAAACUCGCAUCAAGUGCAUGCCAAGCAAGAUUAAAAACUGAACGACCAUCUUUAGAACAGUGUCAAUAGAAGAACAAUGAAGCCAUGCAGAUAUUUUUUGGCUUCCUACAUGGCAAUGCUUUGUGGUAAAAUCACAACAACCAUUUUUUGAUGAGACAAUGGUUUAUAUGAAGCAAUGGAAGACCAUUUUUGCACCCAA